GACGAACGCUGGCGGCGUGCUUAACACAUGCAAGUCGAACGGAAAGGCCCCCUUGUGGGGUACUCGAGUGGCGAACGGGUGAGUAACACGUGAGUAACCUACCCUUGACUUUGGGAUAACUUCAGGAAACUGGGGCUAAUACCGGAUAGGAGCUCCUGCUGCAUGGUGGGGGUUGGAAAGUUUCGGCGGUUGGGGAUGGACUCGCGGCUUAUCAGCUUGUUGGUGGGGUAGUGGCUCACCAAGGCGUUGACGGGUAGCCGGCCGGAGAGGGUGACCGGCCACCUUGGGACUGAGAUACGGCCCAGACUCCUACGGGCGGCAGCAGUGGGGAAUAUUGCACAAUGGGCGGAAGCCUGAUGCAGCAACGCCGCGUGCGGGAUGCCGGCCUUCGGGUUGUAAACCGCUUUCGCCUGUGACGAAGCGUGAGUGACGGUAAUGGGUAAAGAAGCACCGGCUAACUACGUG
rnacentral:rRNA from 1 species